UUUGUCGCGUUGUUCGUGAAACCUCACGGCUUAACUGUGAGCGUGCGGGCGAUACGGGCAGACUUGAGUACUGCAGGGGAGACUGGAAUUCCUGGUGUAGCGGUGGAAUGCGCAGAUAUCAGGAGGAACACCGGUGGCGAAGGCGGGUCUCUGGGCAGUAACUGACGCUGAGGAGCGAAAGCGUGGGGAGCGAACAGGAUUAGAUACCCUGGUAGUCCACGCCGUAAACGGUGGGUACUAGGUGUGGGUUUCCUUCCUUGGGAUCCGUGCCGUAGCUAACGCAUUAAGUACCCCGCCUGGGGAAUACGGCCGCAAGGCUAAAACUCAAAGAAAUUGACGGGGGCCCGCACAAGCGGCGGAGCAUGUGGAUUAAUUCGAUGCAACGCGAAGAACCUUACCUGGGUUUGACAUGCACAGGACGCCGGCAGAGAUGUCGGUUCCCUUGUGGCCUGUGUGCAGGUGGUGCAUGGCUGUCGUCAGCUCGUGUCGUGAGAUGUUGGGUUAAGUCCCGCAACGAGCGCAACCCUUGUCUCAUGUUGCCAGCGGGUAAUGCCGGGGACUCGUGAGAGACUGCCGGGGUCAACUCGGAGGAAGGUGGGGAUGACGUCAAGUCAUCAUGCCCCUUAUGUCCAGGGCUUCACACAUGCUACAUGGCCGGUACAAAGGGUGCGAUGCCGCGAGGUUAAGCGAUCCUUUUAGCCGGUCUCAGUUCGGAUCGGGGU
rnacentral:rRNA from 1 species